GACCACAUAGCUGAAUGGACAAGGCGUCUGAGUUCGGAUCAGAAGAUUGAGGGUUAGAGUCAUUUUGUGGUUG
rnacentral:tRNA from 1 species